GUUGUAAAGCACUUUCAGUCGUGAGGAAGGUAGUGUAGUUAAUAGCUGCAUUAUUUGACGUUAGCGACAGAAGAAGCACCGGCUAACUCCGUGCCAGCAGCCGCGGUAAUACGGAGGGUGCGAGCGUUAAUCGGAAUUACUGGGCGUAAAGCGCAUGCAGGUGGUUUGUUAAGUCAGAUGUGAAAGCCCGGGGCUCAACCUCGGAAUAGCAUUUGAAACUGGCAGACUAGAGUACUGUAGAGGGGGGUAGAAUUUCAGGUGUAGCGGUGAAAUGCGUAGAGAUCUGAAGGAAUACCGGUGGCGAAGGCGGCCCCCUGGACAGAUACUGACACUCAGAUGCGARAGCGUGGGGAGCAAACAGGAUUAGAUACCCUGGUAGUCCACGCCGUAAACGAUGUCUACUUGGAGGUUGUGGCCUUGAGCCGUGGCUUUCGGAGCUAACGCGUUAAGUAGACCGCCUGGGGAGUACGGUCGCAAGAUUAAAACUCAAAUGAAUUGACGGGGA
rnacentral:rRNA from 1 species